GUGCUGUCUUGGAUAUUCAAUUCUAUAAAUCUGGAGUUAACAAACAGUGUUUUAUAUGCUGAAACACCUUCAGAAGUUUGGACAGAUCUUCAAGAGCGAUUUUCUCAAGGUGACUUCUGUAAUCAUUAUCAAAUUCAGAGAUCCAUUUUUGAACUGAAACAAGAUCAAGAAUCAAGUUUUUCUUAUUACACAAAGAUGAAAAUGUUGUGGGAUGAACUUGCCACUUGUACCUGUGGAGCACAAAAAGACUUAAAAGACAAAGAAGAAAGAAUUCGACUUGGACAAUUCAUCAUGGGAUUAAAUGAAACGUACUCUGCUGUUCGGGGACAAAUCAUGCUUAUGCAAAUCAUGCUCAUGCAACCUUUACCAACUGUAAAGAAGGCAUACUUCCUUCUAUGUGAAGAAGAAAAGCAGCGAGGCCUCAUUGAAACAAAGAGUAGUGACCUUAUUCAUGCCAUGAACAUCAACACUUAUGAUAAUUCUAAGGAAACACAACCUGUCUUUUCACGCCAACAGAGACAAUGGUCAGCCUCUCAUUCAAAGUCACAAAGGGAUCGAAAAUCUCAAUUUUGCUCUUACUGUGAAGGCACUACCCAUACCAUGGAUCAUUGCUAUUAUCUGAAUGGUUUUCUAGCUGGUCAUAAAGUUCACGGAAAAGAAAUUCAGCCACCAAAUUGUAACAGAAAACUUAUUGCACACCAAGUAAGCACUCAGAUCAAUCAUGACUUUCACAAGGCCUCCAUGAAUCCUACUCCUCAAUUUACCCCUGAAGAACUCACUCAAAUCAAAGCCCUCUUCAAUGGUAAAAAUUCUACUCAAGCAAACUGUGCAGGUAUCUCUGUCCCUUUUUGCUCCUCUUUUAUCACACAAAAGACAGCUUUGAACCAUUGGAUUAUUGAUAGUGGGGCCACCAAUCACAUAGCAACAUCUGUUUCCAUUACCUCUCCACUUUCUUCUCAAGUGACCUUGCGUAAUGGUGCUCACUCUGAAAUAAUUGGCAUUGGUUCUACACAACUUUCAGAUCACAUGCAUGUUAAAAACAUUCUCU
rnacentral:lncRNA from 1 species